AUGACAGGAUGAUGUACCGCUGAAUGCCCAUGGUGCCCUGCAUCUAGAGUAUGAUUUCGUUUCUUCCAAAUUAUUGAGGUAAUUAUUCCAAAGGUAUCUGAGUUAUUUUACAAUAUUAUUUAAACUUCAUUUCGAGUUGUCAUUGAAUCUAGAUCUAAAUGACAACUCGAUAUGAAGUUUAAAUAAUAUUGAAAAAUAACUCAGAUACCUUUGCAAACAUAAUCUUAGUAAGGUUAUCUAGACGAUUGUAUAGACUAGAUGUAUAGUCUAGAGAGUGCAGAGCUCAAAGUCAGUUCAAAUAAAACUACUUAAGUAAAAUGCUCCUCAAUUUCUCAAUUCUUCCCGGACAAGCAUUAUCCAGUUGAAUCGGACCCUAAUCCAAAUCAUCAUCAAUAGAACCCAUAAAUUGGUUUCUCAUGGAGUCUUUUCGUAAGGAGUCGGGAAAAGACACUUAUUUGCAGACAACGAGAAACUGUCGAAAUUAAUCGUCGAUUAGAAGAAUGUACUGAAGAUUACUAUUCGUUUCUUACUUCCGUCGAACUGGUGUUACAGCCGUAGCUGUAAAAAGAGAAGCUCUACAUCUAUUUGACCAUUCUUUCCGGAUAUUAGUGCCGUUAAUUGGUCAAUUGCGCUCUGAUCUUUCUGAGUCAACAUUAUUCUAUCCCCGUUUGGUAUUAUUUGUUCUCAACAAAAUUCACAAAAUUAUUAACGAAUAUUUUAUAUUUUAUACCUAAAUAAAUGUUGCGAAAUGUCUUAGUUUUACAUAA